rnacentral:lncRNA from 1 species
UUGACCGGUCGUCUUCUCCGGUGAUGGUUGUCUUCUCCGGCGAGUUCCCGGCGAGCCUCUAGCAAAGUUGACCAAACUUUGACCGUGAUUUCUGGGCUCGUUUGAACUCCGAUUAGGUCACUGUUUGAUGCGUUGGACUCUGUUCAACGAGGCGAAUCCAAUGGUGCCGUCAGAAUUGGAUUUCGAGCAAAGCUCUGAAAAACCUAAAUUUGGCCCGUCACCUAAAAACUCGACCAACG